rnacentral:rRNA from 1 species
UACGUAGGCAGCGAGCGUUGUUCGGAGUUACUGGGCGUAAAGGGUGUGUAGGCGGUUCUUUAAGUUUGGUGUGAAAUCUCCCGGCUCAACCGGGAGGGUGCGCCGGAAACUGGAGUGCUCGAGCGUGGGAGAGGAAAGCGGAAUUCCUGGUGUAGCGGUGAAAUGCGUAGAUAUCAGGAGGAACACCUGCGGUGUAGACGGCUUUCUGGACCAUUGCUGACGCUGAGACACGAAAGCGUGGGUAGCAAACAGG